rnacentral:tRNA from 1 species
GAGACUUUAGCUCAGUGGUAGAGCACCUCACUUUUAAUGAGGGGGUCGAUGGUUCAAGCCCAUCAAGUCUCA